GAUGAACGCUGGCGGCGUGCCUAAUACAUGCAAGUCGAGCGAACAGACGAGGAGCUUGCUCCUCUGACGUUAGCGGCGGACGGGUGAGUAACACGUGGAUAACCUACCUAUAAGACUUGGAUAACUUCGGGAAACCGGAGCUAAUACCGGAUAAUAUAUUGAACCUCAUGGUUCAAUAGUGAAAGACGCUUUUGCUGUCACUUAUAGAUGGUUCCGCGCCGCAUUAGCUAGUUGGUAAGGUAACGGCUUACCAAGGCAACGAUGAGUAGCCUAACUGUGAGGGUGAACGGCCACUAUGGAAGUGAGACACGGUCCAGACUCCUACGGGCGGCAGGAGUAGGGUAUAUUGCGCAAUAGGCGCAAGCAUGACGGAGCAAAGGCGAGUGAGUUAUGAAGGUCUUAGGAUCGUAAAAAUCUGUUAUUAGGGAAGAACAAAUGUGUAAGUAACUAUGCACGUAUUGACGGUACCUAGCAAGAGAGCCACGGCUAACUGCGUG
rnacentral:rRNA from 1 species